AUUGAACGCUGGCGGCAGGCCUAACACAUGCAAGUCGAACGAGUGGCGGACGGGUGAGUAAUGUCUGGGAAACUGCCUGAUGGAGGGGGAUAACUACUGGAAACGGUAGCUAAUACCGCAUACCAUCAGAUGUGCCCAGAUGGGAUUCGCUAGUUGGUGGGGUAACGGCUCACCAGGGCGACGAUCCCUAGCUGGUCUGAGAGGAUGACCAGCCAAACGGGAACUGAGACACGGUCCAGACGCCUACGGGAGGCAGCAGUGGGGAAUAGUGCACAAUGGGAGCAAGCCGGAUGCAGCCAUGCCGCGUGUAGGAAGAAGGCCUGAGGGUUGUAAAGUACUUUCAGCGGGGAGGCGUUACCCGCAGAAGAAGCACCGGCUAACUCCGUGCCAGCAGCCGCGGUAAUUC
rnacentral:rRNA from 1 species